ensembl:lncRNA
GCACGGCCUGAACUUAUUUGGAUAUUUCAAGCUGCAAGUUUCAGCUGAACCCAUAAGCAGCAAUUGGAUUUAAGCAAUAAGAAAAGCUUUCCCCAGGUACCUGGAGCUGCUGAAGUUAGAUGGAAAUCACAACACCAUUAAAAGAUGUGUGCCUGGAAGCAUGAUGAUGUUGGACCUUUUUGUACCUUGAAAAGAAAUGUUAAGGCAAGAGACCAGGCGUCCUCUGGGGGAAGUGGAGAAUACAAGAGGAUUGCUCUACCUGUUGGAAGAUUGUGGACAUGUCAGCAGGAAAAAGCUCAGGUUUUGGACGAAAAGGACAGAAAAGACAAGCAAAGUGUGGACUGCAGAAGCAAAGUGAAGAAAAAGCUUACCAAGAUUCUUGGGAGAUUAUUCAAUGUAAGUGAUUCUCCCCCUCUACUUUGCUCUCAUGAGACCCCACCUGGAGUACAGCAUUCAGCUCUGGAAUCCCCAGCACAAGAAGGACAUGGACACAUUAGAAUGUGUCCAGACGAGGGCCACAAAGAUGCUCAAAGAGCUGGAGCACUUCUGCUAUGAAGACAGGCUGAGAGGGUUGGGGUUGUUCAGCCUGGAGAAGAGAAGGCUCUGGAUAGACCUUAUAGCAGCCUUCCGGUACCUAAAGAGGGCCUACAGGAAAGCUGGGGAGGGACUCUUUGUCAGGGAGUGGAGGAAUAGGACAAGGGAUAGUGUCUUUAAACUAAAAGAGGGAAGGUUUAGAUGAGAUAUAGCAAAGAAAUUCCUCACUCAGAGGGUGGUGAGGCACUGGAACAAGUUGCCCAGAGAAGCUGUGGAUGCCCCAUCCCUGGAAGUGUUUAAGGCCAGGUUGGAUGGGGCUUUGAUCAAUCUGGUCUAAUAGGAGGUGUCCCUCUCCAUGACAGAGGGGUUGGGACUGGAUGGUCUUUAAGGUCCCUUCCAAUCCAAACCAUUCUAUGAUUCUAUAUCUCCCAUAAGAAUUGCAUUACUUGCAACGUUAAUUUAUUGAUAUUGAUAUUGAUAUCGAUAUUGAGAGCCAUGUUAGUCAGAAUUUGCUGGAACUAUUUUAAAAAUGCUCUUUUAAUGUGUUUUUAUCUCUCUAAGAAGGGAGAGAGAGAGAGAACAAACUUUGAAAUGUUUUCAGUUUUGAUGAUAUUUUUGUCAAGAUCAGAGACUUACCAGCUGUAGAAAAAUAACCAACUUGUACUCACAUAUGAAAGUAAAAAGCAAGGUUCAGUUCCCUGUUGCAGAGGUUAUUUAGUUUUCUUUUAAGUGGAAAUAGCUCCUACAAAAGCCUCUAAGAGCAACCCACCAAAAACUAGCUAAAAAUAGUGACUUGAAUCUUGAAAAGUAGUGACUCUUAUCUUAUGACUCUUGCAUUCAAGAACUGUUAUGUUCAAAUACCUGCCUGAAGUUAAAUGAUAUUGCUAGACUUCAGAAAAGCAUUUGACACCACCUCCCACAGUAUUCUCCUGAAGAAGCUGGCAGCCCACUGCUUGGACAGGUACACUCUUUGCAGGAUGGAUGGCCAGGCCCACUGAAUCCAUCCAGUAAAUCCAUCUGG